rnacentral:rRNA from 1 species
AGGGAACGCUGGCGGUAGGCCUAACACAUGCAAGUCGAACGGCAGCACAGGAGAGCUUGCUCUCUGGGUGGCGAGUGGCGGACGGGUGAGGAAUACAUCGGAAUCUACUCUGUCGUGGGGGAUAACGUAGGGAAACUUACGCUAAUACCGCAUACGACCUACGGGUGAAGGCAGGGGAUCUUCGGACCCUGCGCGAUUGAAUGAGCCGAUGUCGGAUUAGCUAGUUGGCGGGGUAAAGGCCCACCAAGGCGACGAUCCGUAGCUGGUCUGAGAGGAUGAUCAGCCACACUGGAACUGAGACACGGUCCAGACUCCUACGGGAGGCAGCAGUGGGGAAUAUUGGACAAUGGGCGCAAGCCUGAUCCAGCCAUACCGCGUGGGUGAAGAAGGCCUUCGGGUUGUAAAGCCCUUUUGUUGGGAAAGAAAUCCAGCUGGCUAAUACCCGGUUGGGAUGACGGUACCCAAAGAAUAAGCACCGGCUAACUUCGUGCCAGCCGCCGCAGUAA